AUUGAACGCUGGCGGCAGGCCUAACACAUGCAAGUCGAACGAGUGGCGGACGGGUGAGAAAUGUCUGGGAAACUGCCCGAUGGAGGGAGAGAACUACUGGAAACGGUAGCUAAAACCGCAUACCAUCGGAUGUGCCCAGAUGGGAUUAGCUAGUAGUUGGGGUAACGGCUCACCAAGGCGACGAGACCUAGCCGGUCUGAGAGGAUGACCAGCCACAAGGGGACGGCGACACGGGCCAGACCCCGUCGGGAGGCAGCAGGGGGGAAUAUUGCACAUUGGGCGCACGCCUGAGUCAGCCAUCCCGCGUUCAUGAAGAAGGCCUUCGUGUUGUAAAGUACUUUCAGCGAGGAGUCGUUACUCGCAGAAGAAGCACCGGCGAACGCAGUGCCAGCCGCCGCGGUAAUUC
rnacentral:rRNA from 1 species